CAAAUAUUACUGGAAAACAAGGACCCUUCUGCUCAGUUCAGGAGUCGCUAUUUGGAGUCACCGGCCAGUCUUCGCCCACACAGACUACUGUAAAGGUAGAAGCCAUACAACACGGUGGAUGAGACAGGGUCCUUGGUUCCAACCCCAGCCUUGCCAAUGAGGAACUGAGAGUGGGACUUGGCCCCCAUUUUGCAGGUGGGCCACUGAAGCCAAUGACCUCGGAGGUCCCCCCGUCUCUGCUUGGCUUCUCUUGAUUAGGCCUCUAUGAGGAAACUAAGGCACAAACAGGUCGAAUCAGAGUUUCUCAAGAAGUGUCAAGGCACCAAAGAAAAGAGACAGCAUAUCGAGGGUUGUGGAGUCCACAUGUCUGAAGGAACACUGUGAAGACUCAUGAGAGCCACUUCCGGACUUCUAGGCGAGGAGAGGACAAGGAACCCCAAUGUAUUCAAACCACUGUUAGAUGAGGAAACCGAAGCUCACAAAAUGAGAAUAACUUGCUGCAGGUCACACUCCCAGAGCUGUACUUCCAGCUACUGCACUCCACCGUCUGCCCAUGUCUCACUGGAUAUUCACCCCCAGACCCAGAAGAACAGAACCCCACGCCUACUUUGUGAAUGAGGAGAUAGGGGCUCACAGACAGAAAGGGAAGGGCUCAAAGCCCCACAGGAACUAUGUGGAAAAACUGGGAUUCCAAAGCAGGUAAGGCUGGGCCUCCUGAGUCUGGGCCCCGACCUGCCACGCCCAUCUCCGUGGGGGAGGGGUCCCAGGCCAGAGCGUGCAGCCGGUGCCUGGCCAGCUGCCCCUCUGUGAGCCCCGGGUAUGAUCCCUGAGAGAAAGGCCUCAGUUCCCACCAGCGGCCACCCACACACCUGCUUCCAAGACUAAUGGAAUCCGUGACCAGACGCCUCCCAGCUCCAGAUGGUGCUCCAUGCCCCACUGCCCCGCCUCUGCCUGUCUGCUUCCCUCCCUCCCCUGACCUGCUGACUUUGCCCCCCCUUCCCCAAGGUCAGGCUGGGCUGCUGCAAUGGGGCAGAAGAAAGGAGGUGUCCCUCCGAUGGCCUCAUCUUUGUGUCCCCUCCACAGUGGCCUCCUUGGUGGCUGGCCAAAUGAGCUGUCCUCCUACCCGCACCCCCCCCCAAGCCUUUUCAUCUUUCUAUUCCAGACAACAAAGCCACGGAGGCCAGGCGGAGGCCCCUCCUCCCUGCUCCAGCUGAGCUUGGUUUUUCAGUCUCCUUUUAUGUGAGUUUGAGCCCAGCCCCUGCCCAGGGGUGUUGGCCCCAGGCUGCCUGCCCAGGUGUCCUGAAGGCCCAGCUGCCCCUCAGCGCAAAGCCA